rnacentral:lncRNA from 1 species
UAUUUAUAGGUUUAGAAGACAUUAGAAAUAGAUUAGGAUUGAAAAACCAUAUUUGGAAACUUUGUAACCAUAUUUGGAAAACGCACGUCGGGUUCAGGGCCCGGACCUUCCAGUAGGGUUCGGAUCAUGAAACUCUGGAUCUUGAUCCCAAGGUCCGGACCCUCCCUGCGUAACAACAAAACCUACAUAGGGGUUUUGGACCCUGGAGGCAAGGUCCGGACCCUCGCUACAUAUCAGUCAGGGAGGCCUACGAGUUCCGGACCUUGCUUUCAGGGUCCGGAUCCUAAACCUUGAAAAUCUUAGUUUUGAAGUUUUAUUAAAUUAAACCCAUUCUAAUGUCUUCCAAACACAUGUAAAUGAUCAUAAACCAUUAUCAACAUUAUUUAAACUUACCAAACAUUGUGGAUUCAUGUUUUGAGUCUUCGAGUCUUCGAUCUUCGUCUCUUCUUCUUUAAACCUUCAAGACUCCGACUUAUUUCACGAAAUAUGCUAACUUAAAAUCCGUAACAGCUCCGUGGCGUUGCACUAUUAUUCUUGUUGCGGCCCGCAUAGUUCUAGUCAUUUAGCUUCAGCAAAUUUAAUUUCUUAAAGCCGUGAUUUAGCUUCAACAAAUUUAAUUUCUUAAAGCCGAACAGCAAACACCGAGGCUGGCGAAUAGCGGGGCUAAUUUGGUCCGGAUUCUGAUGAGAGCGAGGUUGCGUAAAGCGCAAGGGGCACAUUUAAUGCCCGCCAAGACCGUACGUUAGGGUAUACAUAUCUCACGAAAUACGCGAGCGGCGGAUGUAGACGAGGGGCAUUUUGGUCAGACGACUGAAAAUCCGGCCCGAAUCUGCAAAAUCGAAAAAGGUGGCCCACUUUUGCAAAAGCGCAAAACUCGUGGAUUUUUUAUGCAAAUUGGCCUUUAUAUUGAUCAACCAUUAAUAUUUCUAUUAAUCUAAUUAAUUAUUUUACAACUUAUCUAGCUAAAAUAAUUUACUAAUUAAUUAAAAAGUUAAAUUAUUUUUAUAAUUAAUUAAUUAAUUAAUAUAUUUUUAUUAUCUUGUACAAUAUUCAUAGCUAAUAAAUUUAUUAAUUUAUUAAAUUAUUUUUAGUAAUAUUUUGAUGUUAAUUAAUUAGAUAAAAUAAUUUUAAUUUAAAAUUAUAACUCUUAUUCCCAUUGUUCCAAUCUAAUCAUCCAAAUGCUAUUUACCUUACUCCUAAGAACAACCCAAUUUUCAUUCAAAUAUAAAAUUAGUCUAGUUCAUCAUACUUAUACCUGAACUUGUAUCUAUCCCCGCAAUAAGCAAUUCUUGCUUAUAACCAAAUCAAACGCAGCCUUAGUGCUUGUAAAUUUUUCACCGUUAAAUCUACAUUUUUGAUCAUUUUCGCUCGUUAGAUCAUACUAUUCAACCGACCAUCCACUCAACCCUAGAGGGGACCACUAUCAUCCUAACUGGGGACCACUACCAUCCUAACUGCACAUCCUUUCAUCCAACGACAAAAAACUUAUGAGUACAAAAUGGUCUAUGCUUAUAAGAGUAUAGUAGCCCUACUUUAUAUAUAGAGAGUUUGAUAAAGAGCAUGUUUGUUUCACCGAAAUUGGAAUUUAGGUUGAAGUAGACUUUGGGCUGAAGUGGAGUAUGGUGAAAACUACUACUUCUCCACUAUUUGUUUCGUAGUUAUGAAAGUGAAGUUUCAUUAGUUUUGCUGUUUGUUUGGUAAGAAGUGUAUGAUAUAAAACUAAAAUUUAUUUAUAAUUAAUAAAUAUUUUAAUAAAUAAAAAUAGUAUAAUUAUAUUUUUAUAUAAUUAAAAUUUAAUUUAAAAUAAUUAAAUUAUUUUUUUAUACAUAAAUUAUAGGAAAAACUUCAAAUACCACCCUUGUGGUUUCACACUUUCUCAUUUUAGUACCCUGUGGUUUAAAGUGUAUCAAUUUAGUGUCUUGUGGUUUCAUUUUUUUUUUUAUUAUCGAUUCCACUAAUUUUUUCCGUUAAAUCAGUGACAAAGUUAAAACUAAAAUAUACUAAAGUGAAUAUUUGAUAAACCUGGGGUAUCUGAAGUUUUUGUAUAUAAUUUAACGAAAAAUUAAUGGAGAAGCUGACGAAAAGAUAAAUAUGAAACCACGGGAAAUUAACUUGAUAUACUUUAAACCACAGGGU